CUCCCCCAAGAGUCCACAUCGACGGGGAGGUUUGGCACCUCGAUGUCGGCUCAUCGCAUCCUGGGGCUGUAGUCGGUCCCAAGGGUUGGGCUGUUCGCCCAUUAAAGCGGUACGCGAGCUGGGUUCAGAACGUCGUGAGACAGUUCGGUCCCUAUCCGUCGCGGGCGUAGGAAAUUUGAGAGGAGCUGUUCCUAGUACGAGAGGACCGGAAUGGACACACCGCUGGUGUAUCAGUUGUGCCGCCAGGCGCAUUGCUGAGUAGCUAUGUGUGGAUGAGAUAAACGCUGAAAGCAUCUAAGUGUGAAACUCGCCUCAAGAUGAGAUUUCCCAUUCCUUUAUGGAAGUAAGACCCCUGAGAGAUGAUCAGGUAGAUAGGCUAGAAGUGGAAGUGCAGCGAUGCACGGAGCGGACUAGUACUAAUCGGUCGAGGACUUAACCAC
rnacentral:ncRNA from 1 species